GGCGGAGUGGUGAAAUGGUAGACACAGCAGACUCAAAAUCUGCCGUACGCAAGUACAUGCCGGUUCGAGUCCGGCCUCCGCUA
rnacentral:tRNA from 1 species